AGCUGAUCUCACAGAUGGACGAGGCGGGUGGUGCCGGGCCAAACGAGAGUCACUAGCCAUCGUCUUUCUACAAUGAGGUGUACAACCUGGCGCAGCGGGGCAGGUGGAAAACUCUCCCUGGUCCUGGCAGCCCCACUACCCACAUUCCAGUUUCUCACGCGCGUGUGUGUCGUAUGUGUGUUGUAUGUGUGUCGUAUGUGUGUUGGGUGUGUGUACUCUGCGGAUUUCACAUGAUCUCUUACAACCCUGUCAAAAUAUUUCAAAGAGGUGGGACCAUGGAUAGAAUGCCUGUUUCUGAUACCGCUGAGUGGAUGGAGAAGAAAGAAAGCUGUGGAAAGUCCUGUCAUUCAAAGCUUCUCCUGAUCUAUUCACACUCAGGUCUUCCACAAGGUAAUCCAGCCUGGUUCUACCGACAGAGCAAAUGGUGCGCCCACACGUGGCGGUCAUUAUGACUCCAACUGGCUGUAGUUUUGUAUUUCUGUAUUUCUGUAUUUCUGUAGUUUUGUAUUUCUGUAUUUCUGUGAUUAAUUGUUGUUGAUUUAUGUGUAGGACUUUGAACAAGUUGCAAGAUUGAGUUGUUCUUUAUUUGAUGAUUUGAUGGGCUUCUUAUACUUAGGAACUGAUAGUUUUUCAUGUUUGGCUUCCUUUUUUUUCUUGACUGAACUUACCUAAGACGUGCAUGAUGCUACAUUUGAUUUGUUCUUGGGAAGAUUCCAACUGUAGCAUUCCGGGUCCUGGUGCAAUAAUAAAGUUACUGCGGGAAAUCUGA